rnacentral:rRNA from 1 species
AUUGAACGCUGGCGGCAUGCUUACACAUGCAAGUCGAACGGCAGCGCGGGAGCAAUCAUGGUGGCGAGUGGCGAACGGGUGAGUAAUACAUCGGAACGUGCCCAAUCGUGGGGGAUAACGCAGCGAAAGCUGUGCUAAUACCGCAUACGAUCUACGGAUGAAAGCAGGGGAUCGCAAGACCUUGCGCGAAUGGAGCGGCCGAUGGCAGAUUAGGUAGUUGGUGAGGUAAAGGCUCACCAAGCCGUCGAUCUGUAGCUGGUCUGAGAGGACGACCAGCCACACUGGGACUGAGACACGGCCCAGACUCCUACGGGAGGCAGCAGUGGGGAAUUUUGGACAAUGGGCGAAAGCCUGAUCCAGCCAUGCCGCGUGCAGGAUGAAGGCCUUCGGGUUGUAAACUGCUUUUGUACGGAACGAAACGGCCUUUUCUAAUAAAGAGGGCUAAUGACGGUACCGUAAGAAUAAGCACCGGCUAACUACGUGCCAGCAGCCGCGGUAAUACGUAGGGUGCAAGCGUUAAUCGGAAUUACUGGGCGUAAAGCGUGCGCAGGCGGUUAUGUAAGACAGUUGUGAAAUCCCCGGGCUCAACCUGGGAACUGCAUCUGUGACUGCAUAGCUAGAGUACGGUAGAGGGGGAUGGAAUUCCGCGUGUAGCAGUGAAAUGCGUAGAUAUGCGGAGGAACACCGAUGGCGAAGGCAAUCCCCUGGACCUGUACUGACGCUCAUGCACGAAAGCGUGGGGAGCAAACAGG